GUGUCAGCAGCCGCGGUAAUACAGAGGGGGCGAGCGUUGUUCGGAAUUACUGGGCGUAAAGGGCGCGUAGGCGGCCACCUCAGUCGGACGUGAAAUCCCCGGGCUCAACCCGGGAACUGCGUCCGAUACUGGGUGGCUAGAGUCCGGGAGAGGGAAGUGGAAUUCCAGGUGUAGCGGUGAAAUGCGUAGAUAUCUGGAGGAACACCGGUGGCGAAGGCGGCUUCCUGGACCGGUACUGACGCUGAGGCGCGAAAGCCAGGGGAGCAAACGGGAUUAGAAACCCUGGUAGUCC
rnacentral:rRNA from 1 species